UAGUCCACGCCGUAAACGAUGAAUGCUAGUCGAUGGAUUGAUUACCGAUUCAUUGACGUCGCUAACGCUUUUAAGCAUUCCGCCUGGGGAGUACGGUCGCAAGACUAAAACUCAAAGGAAUUGGACGGGGGCCCGCACAAGCGGUGGAGCAUGUGGUUUAAUUCGAAGCAACGCGCAGAACCUUACCCAGGCUUGACAUCCCGAGAACUUAGUGGAAACACUUUGGUGCCGUCGAAAGACGGAAUUCGGUGACAGGUGCUGCAUGGCUGUCGUCAGCUCGUGCUGUGAGGUGUUCGGUUAAGUCCGGCAACGAGCGCAACCCCUGUCGUUAGUUACCAGCAUUUAGUUGGGGACUCUAGCGAGACCGCCGGUGACAAACCGGAGGAAGGUGGGGAUGACGUCAAGUCCUCAUGGCCCUUAUGUCUGGGCUACACACGUGCUACAAUGGCAUCUACAGAGGGAAGCGAGUCCGCGAGGCCAAGCAAAUCCCUUAAAAGAUGCUCAGUUCGGAUUGG
rnacentral:rRNA from 1 species